rnacentral:rRNA from 1 species
UUUGCCACGGGGCGCAGCAGUGGGGAAUAUUGGGCAAUGGGCGCAAGCCUGACCCAGCAACGCCGCGUGAAGGAAGAAGGCUUUCGGGUUGUAAACUUCUUUUCUCAGGGACGAAGCAAGUGACGGUACCUGAGGAAUAAGCCACGGCUAACUACGUGCCAGCAGCCGCGGUAAUACGUAGGUGGCAAGCGUUAUCCGGAUUUACUGGGUGUAAAGGGCGUGUAGGCGGGGACGCAAGUCAGAUGUGAAAACCACGGGCUCAACCUGUGGCCUGCAUUUGAAACUGUAGUUCUUGAGUACUGGAG